rnacentral:misc_RNA from 1 species
AAUUCUCAACCUCACCCGUUUUCUGAAUGGACUGAGGCUUGGAUGUGGGGGUUUGUGCAGGCUGCCUUCUUGUGCGGUCUGCUCCCCUGAAAUGCAUUAGCGAGUUCAUACUGAACUUCCGUCUAUUGGUGUGAUAAUUAUCUACGCCGUGGACGAGGUUUAGACUUGCUUCUAACCGUCCGCAAGGACAAUACCUUGACA